GUUUUCGAUCGAAGAAGUCGACCAUGCAGCUCCGAUCACUUUCCCUAUCCACGAUUGGUCGGUGGGGCCUCAACGAAUAGCUGCCGGCAUCCAGGACAGAUCCCGCACGCCUCUGAGGGCCAGAGCUCGGCCCGCCACCAGGUCAACCGGCAGAGAAGUUAUGAGCGCAUCCCAAACGGGACCACAACUUUCCUUUCCUAUUUCUUUUUAUUUUUGUGCAUCUGGUUUUUCUUCAACCGAACCUUCUUCCUUUCCGCCUGAGCUCUGGAGGAAGACCACACCAAAGACCAGCUGAUCUGCGUUUGUAGGACAUGCCCGGAAGACCUAACCAGGGAGGCGUCCGGGGGGGGUAUCCUAAUCAGAUGCCCCAGCCACCUCAUCUGGCUUCUCUCAAUGUGGAGGAGCAGCGGCUCUACUCUGAGCCCCUCCCGGAUGACCAAGCUUCGUACACUCUAAGGGAGAGCCCAGACGUCCUGCAAAGGAAACUGUUUUCGACAACCCACAGCUCGUAUCUCAUAGAAAAUCCUAGAAGAGAAUGUUCAGCCAUCACUGUGUGACCUCAAGUUGAAGCACACGGGUUCUGCAACAGGAUAACGAUCAAAAACACACCAGCAAGUCAACGUCUG